rnacentral:rRNA from 1 species
GGGAUUCGCCCACAUUGGACUGAGACCCGGCCCAACUCCUACGGGAGGCAGCAGUAGGAAUCUUCGGCAAUGACGAAAGUCUGACCGAGCAACGCCGCGUAAUGAAGAAGUUUUCGGAUCGUAAAACUCUGUUGUUAGAGAAGAACAAGGAUGAGAGUAACUGUUCAUCCCUUGACGGUAUCUAACCAGAAAGCCACGGCUAACUACGUGCCAGCAGCCGCGGUAAUACGUAGGUGGCAAGCGUUGUCCGGAUUUAUUGGGCGUAAAGCGAGCGCAGGCGGUUUCUUAAGUCUGAUGUGAAAGCCCCCGGCUCAACCGGGGAGGGUCAUUGGAAACUGGGAGACUUGAGUGCAGAAGAGGAGAGUGGAAUUCCAUGUGUAGCGGUGAAAUGCGUAGAUAUAUGGAGGAACACCAGUGGCGAAGGCGGCUCUCUGGUCUGUAACUGACGCUGAGGCUCGAAAGCGUGGGGAGCAAACAGGAUUAGAUACCCUGGUAGUCCACGCCGUAAACGAUGAGUGCUAAGUGUUGGAGGGUUUCCGCCCUUCAGUGCUGCAGCUAACGCAUUAAGCACUCCGCCUGGGGAGUACGACCGCAAGGUUGAAACUCAAAGGAAUUGACGGGGGCCCGCACAAGCGGUGGAGCAUGUGGUUUAAUUCGAAGCAACGCGAAGAACCUUACCAGGUCUUGACAUCCUUUGACCACUCUAGAGAUAGAGCUUCCCCUUCGGGGGCAAAGUGACAGGUGGUGCAUGGUUGUCGUCAGCUCGUGUCGUGAGAUGUUGGGUUAAGUCCCGCAACGAGCGCAACCCUUAUUGUUAGUUGCCAUCAUUCAGUUGGGCACUCUAGCAAGACUGCCGGUGACAAACCGGAGGAAGGUGGGGAUGACGUCAAAUCAUCAUGCCCCUUAUGACCUGGGCUACACACGUGCUACAAUGGGAAGUACAACGAGUUGCGAAGUCGCGAGGCUAAGCUAAUCUCUUAAAGCUUCUCUCAGUUCGGAUUGCAGGCUGCAACUCGCCUGCAUGAAGCCGGAAUCGCUAGUAAUCGCGGAUCAGCACGCCGCGGUGAAUACGUUCCCGGGCCUUGUACACACCGCCCGUCACACCACGAGAGUUUGUAACACCCGGAAGUCGGUGGAGGUAAACCUUUUGGAGCCAGCCGCC